rnacentral:rRNA from 1 species
AGCGAACGCUGGCGGCAUGCCUAACACAUGCAAGUCGAACGAAGCCUUCGGGCUUAGUGGCGCACGGGUGCGUAACGCGUGGGAAUCUGCCCUUUGGUUCGGAAUAACAGUUGGAAACGACUGCUAAUACCGGAUGAUGACGAAAGUCCAAAGAUUUAUCGCCAGAGGAUGGGCCCGCGUAGGAUUAGCUAGUUGGUGUGGUAAAGGCGCACCAAGGCGACGAUCCUUAGCUGGUCUGAGAGGAUGAUCAGCCACACUGGGACUGAGACACGGCCCAGACUCCUACGGGAGGCAGCAGUGGGGAAUAUUGGACAAUGGGCGAAAGCCUGAUCCAGCAAUGCCGCGUGAGUGAUGAAGGCCCUAGGGUUGUAAAGCUCUUUUACCCGGGAUGAUAAUGACAGUACCGGGAGAAUAAGCCCCGGCUAACUCCGUGCCAGCCGCCGCCGUAA